CACUAGUGAUUCCGCCCUGGAAGAACAGAUGACUGCCUUAGAUGAACAAGCCACACAGAUUCAAACUGAAAUGGCGCAACCUGAAGUAUCGGCCGAUGUUGGUAAACUACAAGACCUACAAAAAGAACUUGAAGCCAUCAAUACUCAACAAGAACAAGUUGAAACCGAAUGGACCGAACAAGCUGAAGCUUUAGAAGAAUUGAGCUAAUUUUCCAAUGACUCAUCAGAUAAAAAUAAUAGUCGCCUCAAGAAUUAAUAUAAUUCUUAAGGCGACUAUUAUUUUGCCCCUAUCCGCGGCAUAAAUCAUGAUUGAAAGGUGCCGGUUAGGUGGGUUCCUGUUCGUCAGCAAUGCGCGUCCGAUUCCGACCUCCGGGGCUGGGUGACAAUUGCUGGAACGUAAGCCGACGUCGAUUUGAGUCUUAUUCUAAGCCGGAAGGAACCCACUUCCAGCUAAGAAUAAUUUGGCUACUGAGCAUUGUCACCCAGCCCCUCCAGUCGGGAUGCCGCUCGAAUGGCUGAUGAACGGCCACUGAACUCGGUACAAUUUGUCGUUGGCUAUUUUGAUACUGAACCCUUUUAAUCAAAUUUCUGAGUGCCUUCUCCACUUUUUCAAAAUUAUUCAAUUAUUCCAACGGCAAUUCAAAAACUAUUGAGUCUUCACAAUAAACUUUCCAAUCUGACAGUUGAUUGAUUAAAAUUACGUUUAUGAAAAACAGCGACAAAUCCAGCAAAAGUGGAGUAGGCGCCUAUCAGACAUUCGAACGCUAUCCCGACUGGAAGGCGUUUGUGACAAUGCCCAGUGGUGAAAUUUCACUUAGCAAGCGUCCUGUGCUUGGUUAGUGAAAGGCCAGUAUUUGAGACGUGGUUUUUAGGCUCAAAUCUGUGCCCACCACGUUCCGGCAAUUGGCAGAAAUGCCUGGAGGUCGGUGUAGGACGAACUAACUAAGCAAGUUUACGCUAACUUGAACUAUUUCCAGCGGGCUUAAGCUGGUCAUUUUUGAUUCUAGGAAUCAUCCUCUUUUAAUCAUAAUUAAUGAAAAGAUANUAAAACGGGUGUGAAAAGGNCUGUNUUUUCACACCCGUUUAUA
rnacentral:misc_RNA from 1 species